rnacentral:rRNA from 1 species
GGGAAUAUUGGACAAUGGGCGCAAGCCUGAUCCAGCCAUGCCGCGUGGGUGAUGAAGGCCUUAGGGUUGUAAAGCCCUUUCGGCGGGGAAGAUAAUGACGGUACCCGCAGAAGAAGCCCCGGCUAACUUCGUGCCAGCAGCCGCGGUAAUACGAAGGGGGCUAGCGUUGCUCGGAAUUACUGGGCGUAAAGCGCACGUAGGCGGCUUGUUAAGUCGGGGGUGAAAUCCCGGAGCUCAACUCCGGAACUGCCUUCGAUACUGGCAAGCUCGAGUCCGGGAGAGGUGAGUGGAACUGCGAGUGUAGAGGUGAAAUUCGUAGAUAUUCGCAAGAACACCAGUGGCGAAGGCGGCUCACUGGCCCGGUACUGACGCUGAGGUGCGAAAGCGUGGGGAGCAAACA